rnacentral:sRNA from 1 species
ACAUUAUACAAGUCGUGUUCUUCUUUAUUGUUUUUGAAUUUUGUCAAUUCCGUAGAGAGACUCUGGUUGCUUCUCAAUCGGUGUUUAUAUUAUUAUAUAAAGUAUGAUUUUCAAAGUUACUAACUCAUAGGAUUGUGCUACAUGUCAAGUCAAACUAGCAAAUGUUUACAUGUGUCCUUCAAUACUUUAUUUAUUAAUUUUAACUCAUUUAAUAUUAAUUUACAUGAUGUAAAAUUAACUUACGAGAUUACGGCAUAUAUAAAAAAUAUAGUUUCAACAAUGUUUGGUUUCUAAAUAUUUUUGUGGAUUUCUGUUUUUUUAUAUAUAUUAAUUAUGCUUUGUUAAUUGUUAAUUAUUUUUAAUACUAACUAGGAUAUAGAUUUGAUAUGUCAUAAAUAUUAUUUUGAUAUGAAAAUGUUAUCACUUAAAAUGAUGUGUGUAGAAUUUAAAUCU